rnacentral:tRNA from 1 species
GGAGGACGGCCGCACGGUGACGGCCCCGGCUUGCUAAGCCGGUAAGGGCUACGGCCCGACAGGGUUCGACUCCCUGGUCCUCCG